AUUGAACGCUGGCGGCAGGCCUAACACAUGCAAGUCGAGCGAGCGGAGGACGGGUGAGUAAUGCUUGGGAAUCUAGCUUAUGGAGGGGGAUAACUACGGGAAACUGUAGCUAAUACCGCGUAUCCUAGGAUGAGCCCCAGUGGGAUUAGGUAGUUGGUGAGGUAAAGGCUCACCAAGACGACGAUCUCUAGCUGGUCUGAGCGGAUGACCGUCCACACUGGGACUGAGAGGUGGCCCAGACGCCGCCGGGAGGCAGCAGUGGGGAAUAUUGCGCAAUGGGGGGAACCCUGACGCAGCCAUGCAGCGUGAAUGAAGAAGGCCUUCGGGUUGUAAAGUACUUUCAGCGGGGAGGCGUUACCCGCAGAGGAAGCACCGGCUAACUCCGUGCCAGCAGCCGCGGUAAGUC
rnacentral:rRNA from 1 species